AACGAACGCUGGCGGCAUGCCUAACACAUGCAAGUCGAACGAAGCCUUCGGGCUUAGUGGCGCACGGGUGCGUAACGCGUGGGAAUCUACCCUGGGGUUCGGAAUAACACAGAGAAAUUUGUGCUAAUACCGGAUGAUAUCGAGAGAUCAAAGAUUUAUCGCCCUUGGAUGAGCCCGCGUAGGAUUAGCUUGUUGGUGGGGUAAUGGCCUACCAAGGCGACGAUCCUUAGCUGGUCUGAGAGGAUGAUCAGCCACACUGGGACUGAGACACGGCCCAGACUCCUACGGGAGGCAGCAGUGGGGAAUAUUGGACAAUGGGCGAAAGCCUGAUCCAGCAAUGCCGCGUGAGUGAUGAAGGCCUUAGGGUUGUAAAGCUCUUUUACCAGGGAUGAUAAUGACAGUACCUGGAGAAUAAGCUCCGGCUAACUCCGUGCCAGCCGCCGCGGUAAAAC
rnacentral:rRNA from 1 species